ACGUGUGAAUCCCUUUUAUUUUUCAUUUUUAUUAUUUAUUCAUUGGAAGCGCGUCAUUAUCACAAUUGGGCCAUUGGCCCAGUGGGUAAGGGGUCAGAUUCCCUCAUGACCCUAAGGUCAGGGGUUUGAACCUGAGGAGUGCACCAUGACCAUUAUUUUCAUUUUUAUGUCAUUCUUGUUUUUUUUUAUUUUCCCCUUGUUAUUUUCUCUUUUGAUUUAUUUUUAUUAUUUUUAAAAAUGUUGAACAUCAACCCCCCUUAUUUUUGCCUCUAGAAUUUAAUGGUGACCUUAAUUUUUUCAUUUGAGAAAUUAUUUAUGCACUUAUAAGGUAUAGAAGUGGAGGACUAAUGAAAAUCACUUAAGUCAUUAUAUGCUUGGUUUAGGUUUGGUAAAAAC
rnacentral:lncRNA from 1 species